GAUGAACGCUGGCGGCGUGCCUAAUACAUGCAAGUCGAGCGAACGGACGAGAAGCUUGCUUCUCUGAUGUUAGCGGCGGACGGGUGAGUAACACGUGGAUAACCUACCUAUAAGACUGGGAUAACUUCGGGAAACCGGAGCUAAUACCGGAUAAUAUUUUGAACCGCAUGGUUCAAAAGUGAAAGACGGUCUUGCUGUCACUUAUAGAUGGAUCCGCGCUGCAUUAGCUAGUUGGUAAGGUAACGGCUUACCAAGGCAACGAUGCAUAGCCGACCUGAGAGGGUGAUCGGCCACACUGGAACUGAGACACGGUCCAGACUCCUACGGGAGGCAGCAGUAGGGAAUCUUCCGCAAUGGGCGAAAGCCUGACGGAGCAACGCCGCGUGAGUGUUGAAGGUCUUCGGAUCGUAAAACUCUGUUAUUAGGGAAGAACAUAUGUGUAAGUAGCUGUGCACAUCUUGACGGUACCUAAUCAGAAAGCCACGGCUAACUACGUG
rnacentral:rRNA from 1 species